rnacentral:rRNA from 1 species
UACGUAGGGGGCAAGCGUUGUCCGGAAUCAUUGGGCGUAAAGCGCGUGUAGGCGGUUCGGUAAGUCGGCUGUGAAAGUCCAGGGCUCAACCCUGGGAUGCCGGUCGAUACUGCCGGACUAGAGUUCGGAAGAGGCGAGUGGAAUUCUCGGUGUAGCGGUGAAAUGCAUAGAUAUCGAGAGGAACACCUGCGGCGAAGGCGGGUUGCUGGGCUGAUACUGACGCUGAGGCGCGAAAGCCAGGGGAGCGAACGGG